rnacentral:rRNA from 1 species
GACGAACGCUGGCGGCGUGCUUAACACAUGCAAGUCGAACGGAAAGGCCCUGCUUUUGUGGGGUGCUCGAGUGGCGAACGGGUGAGUAACACGUGAGUAACCUGCCCUUGACUUUGGGAUAACUUCAGGAAACUGGGGCUAAUACCGGAUAGGAGCUCCUGCUGCAUGGUGGGGGUUGGAAAGUUUCGGCGGUUGGGGAUGGACUCGCGGCUUAUCAGCUUGUUGGUGGGGUAGUGGCUUACCAAGGCUUUGACGGGUAGCCGGCCUGAGAGGGUGACCGGCCACAUUGGGACCGAGAUACGGCCCAGACUCCUACGGGAGGCAGCAGUGGGGAAUAUUGCUCAAUGGGCGGAAGCCUGAUGCAGCAACGCCGCGUGCGGGAUGACGGCCUUCGGGUUGUAAACCGCUUUCGCCUGUGACGAAGCGUGAGUGACGGUAAUGGGUAAAGAAGCACCGGCUAACUACGUG